ensembl:lncRNA
CUUUCUACUUUUUUUUUUAAGUUUUUUUUUUGGCGAUUAUUGGUGCUUUGCAUUUCCAUAUGUAUUUUGGCAUCAGCUUUUUAAGUUCAGCAAAAUAUAUCUGCUAGGAUCUUGAUAUAGUUCUGUUAGAUCUACAAAACUGCAGUUAUUCAGAUCACUGUUCCCAGAGUUAACAUAUCAGUGCUUGCUGACUACUCUCAAGGUAUUAUUUUUAUAUUUAGUUUUAAUAAACUUAACUACUAUGUGUUUGAUAUGGAUUAUUUUUAGUUCAUAAUAGUUUGAAAUCGCUGAGUUUCUUAGGCUGCAUGUUUAUGUGUUUCUCAAAAAUUGGGACGUUUUUAAACUACUAUAUAUUCAAAUAUUUUAUCAGCUGAAAAACUAUUUUCUCCUUCUUUGAUUACAAUUACUUUAAUGUUAGACAUUUUUUUAAUGCCCAGGUCUUUUUUUUUUUCUUUUUUAAAUUCAUUUUGUUUCUGCCAUUUAAAUGGGAUAAUUUCUCUUGAUCUAUCUUCAAAUUAGCAUAUUCUUUUCUCUGUCAUUUCUAUUCUUCUAUUUAGCCCACUCAGUAUUUUAUUUUAGCUACUGGAUUUUUUAUUCUAAAGUUUUCUUUUGCUCUUUUUUAUAUCUUCUGUUUCUUGUCUAAGAUGUUCUAUUUUUUUCUAUUUUUUUCAAGCAUGUUUACAAUUGCAUGUUAGAAAAUUUUGAUGGCUGUUUUAUAAUUUUCGUUAAUAAUUCUAAUCUGUUUCACCUCUGGGUUAAUAUCUAUUGAUUGUGUUUUCUUGCUUAAGUUGAGAUUUUCCAGUUCUUGAUAUGAAUAGUAAAUUUAGAUUCGAUUCUGGAUUUUUUUAGUGUUACACAUGAGACUCUUUUCUGUUUUAAUAUUAUAUUUUAGCAGGUAUUCUGCAUGUUUUGGGUCAAUUUUGUGGAAUGUGUUUUUUCAGUUUGGUUUUGAAGUCUUGCAGUGCUAUUCUAAUCUUUUCUAUUUGGUGAUAUCCAGAGACUCACCUGAAACCUGGGCAUUAUACCAUGCUGUAGUCCUGCUCUCAAAAUUCUUGCAACUCCACAUACUUUAUCUACCAUUGAGAACAGGUCCAGUUUUCAGACUGUCAAACCACUCAGUGUGCUGGGAGGCUCUCUUACUGGGAUGGUGUACAGAGGAGGAACUUCUGUAAGUUGAAAGCCUUCCACACCAGAUGAUAUGUUGUAAAAUUGCUAAAUUAUUUUUUCAUGUUAGUAAUAAAUAUUUUUGUUGAAAUAGCUCUAAAUUGAUCUACACAGUAUUUAAAUGUAAUGCUUUAAGUAAGGAGGCCUUCAAUAACUUGUUGAAUUGCUUUAACUAUGUUUGUUAUGAAGAGCAUCAAUUACAGUUUUUUUUGGUUACUUGGGGUUAUCAUUAUCAGCACACUUAUUGACUUGCACCAUAAGGCAGUUGUCUCCUCAGGGUCUCUGUUGAGGUAUGAACAGCUAUUUGUUCUGUCACUAACUAAUUCCCAUUUGAGUGCCUUUGGAGUUGUUUUUGUUCCUUCACAUGCCUUGCCGGAAGUGUUCAUUUCUUUGUUGUAUUCUUAAGUCUAUCAAUCUUGCCUAACUCUGUGCAAUUGAUUGUUUUUAGUUUCAGUAUGUUGGGAUAGCUAAUCAUUAAAUUUAUUAAGUAUUGUGUGUAAAAUAUAAAUUCAUAGAGUGUGAGCUUUUGAGACAG